rnacentral:rRNA from 1 species
UACGUAGGGGGCAAGCGUUGUCCGGAUUUAUUGGGCGUAAAGAGCGUGUAGGCGGCUUUACAGGUCCGUUGUGAAAACUCGAGGCUCAACCUCGAGACGCCGGUGGAAACCGUAAGGCUAGAGUCCGGAAGAGGAGAGUGGAAUUCCUGGUGUAGCGGUGAAAUGCGCAGAUAUCAGGAGGAACACCCGUGGCGAAAGCAGCUCUCUGGGACGGUACUGACGCUGAGACGCGAAAGCGUGGGGAGCGAACAGG